AUCUUCUUAGCUCAAUGGUAGAGCGUGGCACUUCUAAUGUUUUGGCGUGAGUUCGAUUCUCACAGAAGAUU
rnacentral:tRNA from 1 species